AUUGAGGUCUACCCCCAUAGCUUCCCCAGGAACCACACGUCACUAGAAAUACCUCAUACUGUACCCGUGGUUUUGCUUGACUCAUGGGAAUGAGCCAGUGUUUCCUAGGUUUGUGGGAAGGAACUGCAAGUCAGUU
rnacentral:snoRNA from 1 species